ensembl:snRNA U6 U6 spliceosomal RNA
AUUUUCUUUCCAUCAAUACACAAACUAAAAUUGGAACAAUACAGAGAAUAAAAUAGCCCCUAUACAAGGAUGACAAUGAAUAUUUGUGGAGCACUUUUUU